UGCUUAUCAGCUCCAGGUCCAGGACUGAGCAGAUAGCCUGCUGUCUUCAUAUGAGUGCUUAUGAAACAUGAAGCUCUCUGGAGUUAUUCUAUGGCUUUUUGAGGGAACUAUAGCAAUCCUUCAGAGGACAUGAAAAUAGGAACAAUGAAACUCUGGGGCCUCUAAGCCUAGUAUGCAUCAUGUACAUUGUGAAAAAUGCCGUGGACUGCACAAUGGUCUUGAGAAUACAUAAGGGAUACUGGGAAUAAGAGUAUUAUUUGAUUUGUUAAUAAUGUCUUUUUUCACAUUCCUCUUCUUGCAGCCGGGACAGCAGAAUUUUCAUACAAGCAUCAUGAAUUCUAUGAGAACAUAGGAAAUAAAUAUCCACUGUCUGACCUUCGGAGCACAUCUUACUCUUACCUACAUUUUCUUUUUUCCUCUUUGCUUUUAUCCUCCUUAAUUCUUGUCCCUGGACUUUCAGACCCCAUGAAAUUCCAGUUUCUCUUGGCAAUAUCGAAAGUUAACCUGUACUUUUCUUUACUCCUUGAAUAAACACAUACUGGCAUGUGAUCUUAUAUGCCCUGCCACCCAAUAUAUCCUCUAAAGUUGUCAGUGAAUUUUUCCAGGGUAUGUUCUUGAAUACCCUAUUAUAUUGUAAGAGUCUAGAGCUUAUUAUACUGGCUUGAUUGCUGUUUCUCUUAUUGUUCAACAUUUUAAUUGUUUAAUAAAUGUUUACCAAUUAAUUGAUA
rnacentral:lncRNA from 1 species